GGGGGGGGGGGGGGGGGGGGGGGGGGCGGGCGGGGAGGGGGGGGGGGGGGGAGCUGGCGCUUCGGGAGGAGGGGCGAACGGGUGGGUGACGCGUAGGUAGCCUGCCUGGUAGCGGGGGAUAACUAUUGGAAACGAUAGCUAAUACCGCAUGACAACAGUUAUUGCAUGAUAACUGUUUAAAAGGGGCAACUGCUCCACUACCAGAUGGACCUGCGUUGUAUUAGCUAGUUGGUGAGGUAACGGCUCACCAAGGCGACGAUACAUAGCCGACCUGAGAGGGUGAUCGGCCACACUGGGACUGGGACACGGCCCAGACUCCUACGGGAGGCAGCAGGAGGGAAUCUUCGGCAAUGGACGGAAGUCUGACCGAGCAACGCCGCGUGAGUGAAGAAGGUUUUCGGAUCGUAAAGCUCUGUUGUAAGAGAAGAACGAGUGUGAGAGUGGAAAGUUCACACUGUGACGGUAUCUUACCAGAAAGGGACGGCUAACUACGUG
rnacentral:rRNA from 1 species